rnacentral:rRNA from 1 species
GAUGAACGCUGGCGGCGUGCCUAAUACAUGCAAGUCGAGCGAACAGAUAAGGAGCUUGCUCCUUUGACGUUAGCGGCGGACGGGUGAGUAACACGUGGAUAACCUACCUAUAAGACUGGGAUAACUUCGGGAAACCGGAGCUAAUACCGGAUAACAUAUUGAACCGCAUGGUUCAAUAGUGAAAGGCGGCUUUGCUGUCACUUAUAGAUGGAUCCGCGCCGUAUUAGCUAGUUGGUAAGGUAACGGCUUACCAAGGCAACGAUACGUAGCCGACCUGAGAGGGGGGUCGGCCCCAGGGGAACUGACACCCGGUCAAGCCUCCUAGGGGGGGAACAAGAGGGGAUUCUCCCGCAAGGGGGAAAGGCCUGAGGGAGCAACGCGGGGGGAGGAAAGAAGUUUUUGGGAUCGAAAAACUUUGUUACCGGGGAAAAAAAAAUGUGAAAGUACCUGUGCACAUCUGGACGGUCCCUGACCAGAAGGCCACGGCAAACCACGUC